UAUAAAACAAUGGAAGGAAACAGAAAGUGUCUCUGGUGAUAAUAAUAUGCGACUUCACUGUAGCUGAUCAACCCCAUGUUCUUGAACACUUGAAGUACCUGUACAAUGCCAUUGGUUUAUGGAGUACUGAAUAUCUGUGAUUGAGAUGAUACAUUGCUACAUACUUCCUCACCUUUUUUACUGAAGCACCUGCACACAAAAUAGCAAAACUAAGCAAAAUAUUGCCAGCUGGAAACUUUCCAAAAAGAUAUGGUUGACUUUUCCAGGUGCAUCGGGCGUGAUCUGUUGGUCCUGUAAGAAUAUUGAGGAAUAGUUGUUUUACGAAGUGCACGUAUGUGUGAAGAGCAAUUGUUGGCUUUACGUAUGCAUCAUUCUCAGAUUGGUCUGGAAUUUCAGUUGUGCCUUUUUCUUCUUGAAAAUAGCACGAAUCUUCUUUCUUCAUGCAUGAUACAGACACUUCAUUUUGUAUUUCCUUUAAAACCUUAGUAUAAAUGUAUAUUAUAUAUUGAAAGUUUGC